rnacentral:rRNA from 1 species
CUAUGAUUUAGGCCCCGCCAGGCUCUCCGAUAACCGGGCCCCCCCCUGGUGAGUAACCGGUGGACAACCUGCCUGUCAAACUGGCAGAACACCUGGAAACCGGUGCUGAUACCGGAGAAUCCUUUUCCUCUCCUGAGGAAAAGCUGAAAGUCGGUUUCAGCUGACGCUUCCGCAUGGGCCCGCGGAUGGUUCCCUAGUUGGUGAGGUAACGGCUCACCAAGGCGACCAUGCGUGCCCCAACUGAUAGGCUAAUCGGCCACACUGGCACUGACACUGGGCCCGAACUCCUACCGGAAGUCCUACUGGGGAAUCUUCCACAAUGGAUUAAAGUCUGAUGGAACAUCUCCUCGAGAGCCAUCAAGGGCUUCAGGACGGACAGCUCUGUUGUUAGGUAAGAACAAGUACCGGAAUAACUGCCGGAACCUUGGCCGGACCUUACCCGAAACCCACGGCUAACUACAUGCCUACCUCCGCGGCAAUACCUACGUGGCAAGCGUUGUCCGGAAUUAUUGGCCGUAUUGUGGGCGCAGGCGGUCCUUUAAGUCUGAUGUGAAAUCCCACGGCUCAACCGUGGAGGGUCCUUGGAAACUGCGUUACUUGCUGGCAGACUAGAAUAGCGAAGAUCCACGUGUAGUUCCGCGUUGCGUAGAGAUAUGCAGGAACAUCUGUGGCAACGGCGGCUUUCUGGUCUGUUUCUGACUCUGAGGCUGACACUCAUGCGCAGCAAACAGGAUUAGAUACACUGGUAGAUCACCUGGUAGACCAUGACUGAUACGAGUUAUGCGAAUUCCGCCCUUGAUUGCUGCCGCUAACGCUUUAAGCACUGCAUCUGGCGAGCAGGCUCGCGAGGAUGAAACUCAGGGGAAUUGUCGGAGGAACUCACAGGCGCUCGGAGCAUGUGGUGUAUUUCGAAGCAUCACUUAGAGCAUCACGAAGACUCGUCAUCCGCUGAGACUUCUUCAGACAGUACUAUCCCUUUCAGUGGACCCAUCGACGGGACAGAGUAUAGGUGGUCUUCAUGUCUGUUCGUCGACACGUGUGGUUAAAUCUGCACAGUCCAACCCCUUGAAGCUACUGUCGAGUCAUAUAUGUUCGAGCACUCUAAUGUGAACUGCUAGUGACACAUGCGGGAGACAGAUCGCGGAUGACGGCGAGAUCAUGCAUGUCAACUCAUGACGUGCGCCUUAUGCACUGGCUAACUCGAUGCUACAAUGACUGCCAGAACGGCGUAGCCAAUAGAUAGCGA